UAACGCGCGAGGAACCUGCCUUCCAGAGGGGGACAACAGUUGGAAACGACUGCUAAUACCGCAUGAUGCGUUGGAGCCGCAUGACUCCGACGUCAAAGAUUUAUCGCUGGAAGAUGGCCUCGCGUCUGAUUAGCUAGUUGGUGAGGUAACGGCCCACCAAGGCGACGAUCAGUAGCCGGCCUGAGAGGGUGAACGGCCACAUUGGGACUGAGACACGGCCCAAACUCCUACGGAAGGCAGCAG
rnacentral:rRNA from 1 species